rnacentral:rRNA from 1 species
GGUUGAUCCUGCCAGUAGUCAUAUGCUUGUCUCAAAGAUUAAGCCAUGCAUGUCUAAGUAUAAACAAAUUCAUACUGUGAAACUGCGAAUGGCUCAUUAAAUCAGUUAUAGUUUAUUUGAUGGUAUCUUGCUACAUGGAUAACUGUGGUAAUUCUAGAGCUAAUACAUGCUGAAAAGCCCCGACUUCUGGGAGGGGUGUAUUUAUUAGAUAAAAAACCGAUGGGUGAAAGCCCUCUUUGGUGAUUCAUGAUAACUUCUCGAAUCGCAUGGCCUUGUGCCGGCGAUGCUUCAUU